AUGCAAAGUAGGGAGGCCGGCGGGAAGGAUUCAGGGGUGGAAUUGCUGGAGUCACAGAUGGAGAGCAGGAGCCUUGCUGGAAGGCUCACGCGGAGGUGGAGCUGUGGGGAGGGGCUUGGACCAUUUCCUUGCAGGGCAAGUGAACAGAGGCAUAGGACACACGGGAGCUAAAGUCAAAUUAAAAAGACCAGAAGUGGGGACACAGAGUGAAACUCGGCUCGCCGUCCCUAAGCCCCGGAGUGGUGUUCUUGAAGCACCCAGGGCUCGAUCUAAAAAUCAGACCGUGAACUCAGACGCCAGCAUUGCGAUGUGGGCUUCCCACUCGCACAGCACAUGGUCACUGAAACCAUCCCAAGGGAAUUUAAAGCAGCAGGACCCCGGCGUUACUGUUUGGUUGUUGCCUGGAGCCAGUGGAACAUCCGACCCACGCAUGGAGGCUGCUCAGCGCUUCUGCAUGAAUUAAAUGAGGUAGUUCAAUGGGGCAUGUGGACUAGGAAGCCGUCACUGCGUUGGACGUUGGCCUUGCAAUGCAAACACCACCCCAUCCCACUCAGGACACGCCUGGGAAGGCACUCAGCUCAUUGAAAGAGCCCAUCAGUUUUGCUUCUUCUCUGUGACCCAUUCUGGGGAGCUGUGACCAACAGCAUAGCGGUAACUUCAGGCCCGCAAGAAGAGGGUGAAAAGUAGAUACAGUUAGCUCAUCAACUUGGAAAUGCCUUCAACAUGAAACGAAGAGUCAUCCUCAAAUUUUGCAGGAAAGAAGAGCCCCCUUUUGUUUG
rnacentral:lncRNA from 1 species